AGGGGGGGUUGAUGUUUUGGUACUGUUAACCGCUACCUGAGUUUAAAUCUUCUGUUUCCUGCGCCAACCUUUGUUCUCUUUCUUGGAAGCAUGCUCCUCAAUCCACUCAGAUUAAACUGAAUUAGGCCCUGUCUUAACUGCAUUCGCUGCCCAACCCACAUAUCUCUACAUUAAUAGCAUUGCGCUUGGCUCGCUUCUGUGUGCCCUUUAGGCCUAUCUGGAUGCCUCAGUGACUACCAUGCUGCCUGGCCUAAUAUUGGGGUCACUGGGCCUAUGCGGCAGCCAGGGUGCCUCG
rnacentral:lncRNA from 1 species